rnacentral:rRNA from 1 species
AAUGGGGGCAACCCUGAUCUAGCCAUGCCGCGUGAGUGAAGAAGGCCUUAGGGUUGUAAAGCUCUUUCACCUGUGAGGAUGAUGACAGUAGCAGGAUAAGAAGGACCGGCUAACUCCGUGCCAGCAGCCGCGGUAAGACGGAGGGUCCUAGCGUUGUUCGGAAUAACUGGGCGUAAAGGGUACGUAGGCGGUUUUGUAAGUUAGAUGUGAAAUCCCAGGGCUCAACCCUGGAACUGCAUUUAAAACUGCAAGACUUGAGAUCGGAAGAGGAAAGCGGAAUUUCUAGUGUAGAGGUGAAAUUCGUAGAUAUUAGAAGGAACAUCAGAGGCGAAGGCGGCUUUCUGGUCCGAUACUGACGCUGAGGUACGAAAGCGUGGGGAGCAAACAGGAUU